AUACGUAGGUGGCGAGCGUUAUCCGGAAUUACUGGGUGUAAAGGGUGUGUGGGCGGGAAGGCAAGUCGGAUGUGAAAAUUAUGGGCUCAACCCAUAAAGUGCGACCGAAACUGUUUUUCUUGAGGAUCGGAGAGGUAAUGAGAAUUCCCGGUGUAGCGGUGAAAUGCGCAGAGAUCGGGAGGAAUACCGGUGGCGAAGGCGAAUUACUGGACGAUAACUGACGCUGAGACACGAAAGCGUGGGGAGCAAACAGGAUUAGAUACCCUGGUAGUCCACGCCCUAAACGAUGAAUGCUAGGUGUAGGGGGUAUCGACCCCUUCUGUGCCGCAGUUAACACAAUAAGCAUUCCGCCUGGGGAGUACGGCCGCAAGGUUGAAACUUAAAGGAAUUGACGGGG
rnacentral:rRNA from 1 species